rnacentral:rRNA from 1 species
CCUACGGGUGGCAGCAGUGAGGAAUAUUGGUCAAUGGACGAGAGUCUGAACCAGCCAAGUAGCGUGAAGGAUGACUGACCUAUGGGUUGUAAAAUUCUUUUAUAUGGGAAUAAAAUUUUCAACGUGGGGGAUUUUGUAUGUACCAUAUGAAUAAGGAUAGGCUAACUCCGUGCCAGCAGCCGCGGUAAUACGGAGGAUCGGAGCGUUAUCCGGAUGUAUUGGGUUUAAAGGGAGCGUAGGUGGUUGGUUAAGUCAGUGGGGAAAGUUUGCGGCCCAACCGUACAAUUGCAGUUGAAACUGGCAGUCUUGAGUACAGUAGAGGUGGGCGGAAUUCGUGGUGUAGCGGUGAAAUGCUUAGAUAUCACGAAGAACUCCGAUUGCGAAGGCAGCUCACUGGACUGCAACUGACACUGAGGCUCGAAAGUGUGGGUAUCAAACAGGAUUAGAUACCCCAGUAGUC